rnacentral:rRNA from 1 species
UACGAGGGGGGCAAGUGUUGUUCGGAAUCACUGGGCGUAAAGGGCGCGUAGGCGGGUUUCUAAGUCAGGUGUUUAAUCCCGGGGCCCAACCCCGGACAGGCACUUGAAACUGGGAAUCUUGAAUAGUGGAGAGGUCAGUGGAAUUGGAGGUGUAGCGGUGGAAUGCGUAGAGAUCUCCAAGAACACCAGUUGCGAAGGCGGCUGACUGGACACAUAUUGACGCUGAGGAACGAAAGCUAGGGGAGCAAACAGG